CCUACGGGUGGCAGCAGUGAGGAAUAUUGGUCAAUGGGCGAGAGCCUGAACCAGCCAAGUCGCGUGAGGGAGUACUGCCCUAUGGGUUGUAAACCUCUUUUGUCGGGGAGCAAAAGCCGGACGUGUCCGGCUGUGAGAGUACCCGAAGAAAAAGCAUCGGCUAACUCCGUGCCAGCAGCCGCGGUAAUACGGAGGAUGCGAGCGUUAUCCGGAUUUAUUGGGUUUAAAGGGUGCGUAGGCGGACGCUUAAGUCAGCGGUAAAAUUGCGGGGCUCAACCUCGUCGAGCCGUUGAAACUGGGUGCCUUGAGUGGGCGAGAAGUACGCGGAAUGCGUGGUGUAGCGGUGAAAUGCAUAGAUAUCACGCAGAACUCCGAUUGCGAAGGCAGCGUACCGGCGCCCAACUGACGCUGAAGCACGAAGGCGUGGGUAUCGAACAGGAUUAGAUACCCGUGUAGUC
rnacentral:rRNA from 1 species